rnacentral:lncRNA from 1 species
AUGAGGAACAAACUACUGGCUUCAAACUACAGGAAAGGAGCCUCCACCACGGCCCCGGGGAGAGAGUUCCACUGUCGAACAGCCUUUCUCACAGUGAGGAAGUUCUUCCUGAUGUUCAGGUGGAAUCUCCUUUCCUGUAGUUUGAAGCCAUGGUUCCCUUUGUGUCCUAGUCUGCAGGGCAGCAAGAAAACAAGCUUGCUCCCUCUUCCCUAUGACUUCCCCUUCACGUAAUUGUACAUGGCUAUCAUGUCUCCUCUCAGGCUUUCUCUUUUUGUAGGGCUAAACAUGCCUAGUUCUUUAAGCCGCUCCUCAUAGGGCUUGUUCUCCAGACCCUUAAUCAUUUUAGUCGCCCUCCUCUGGAUGCUUUCCAGAUUGUCAACAUCUCCCUUCAACUGUGGUGCCCAGAAUUGGACACAGUGUGAUUCCAGGUGUGGUCUGACCAAGGCAGAAUAGAAAGAGGGGGAGCAGGACUUCCCUGGAUCUAGACGCUAUUCCCCUAUUGAUGCAGGACAGAAUCCCAUUGGCUUUUUUAGCAGCCGCAUCACAUUGUUGGCUCAUGUUUCUCUUCCUCCCCACAAGGACUCCAAGGUCUUUUUCGCACACACUGCUGUCAAGCCAGGCAUCGUCCCCCAUUCUGUCUCUUUGAUUUCCAUUUUUUCUGCCGAAGUGAAGUAUCUUGCAUUUGUUCCCGUUGAACUUCAUUUUGUUAGUUUUGGCCCAUCUCUCUAGUCUGUCAAGAUCGUUUUGAAUUCUGCUCCUGUCUUCUGGAGUGUUAGCUCUCCCUCCCAGUUUUGUGUCAUCUGCAAACUUGAUGAUCGUGCCUUCUAACCCUUCGUCUAAGUCGUUAAUAAAGAUGUUGAACAGAACCGGGCCCAGGACAGAACCCUGCUUGUGGCACUCCACUCGUGACUUCUUUCCAAGAUGAGGACGACACCUUGGUGAGCACCCUUUGGGUUCGUUCGCUUAGCCAAUUACAGAUCCACGUAACCGUAGUUUUGUCUAGCCCACAUUUUACUAGUUUGUUUGCCAGAAGGUCGUGGGGGACUUUGUCGAAGGCCUUACUGAAAUCUAGGUACGCUACAUCCACGGCAUUCCCGAUUUAUCGAUAGAUAUCGAUAAAUAUCUAACAACAGCAACCACAACAUUUAUCUGAGGACAUAAACUCAGGAUUCCUCCACACCAGGUGCCCUCAAACUGUGGCCUUCCAGCUGUUUGGGAACAAGCUGCCCAUGGCUUCUGGGAGUUGGAGGCCCAAACACCUGGAAGGCUGAAGUUUGAGGAUGCCUGCUCGACACUCUCAGAUGGAGGGGUUCAGAAAAAAACUUAAGACCUGGCUAUGUACGCAGGCGUUUGAAGAAUAUGUGUUGGCUUCGACGCGGUCUGAAUUAAGGCUCUUGUAUAAGGUCUGGUGGAUGAAUGGGGCCGGGCUGUGGCGCAGCUGGCUAGUAACCAGCUGCUAUAAAUCACUACUGACCGAGAGGUCAUGAGUUCGAAGCCUGGGUCGGGUUAAGCCCCUGACCAUUAAUAGCCCCGGCUUGCUGUUGACCUAUGCAACCCCGAAAGAUAGUUGCACCUGUCAAUUAGGGAAAUUUAGGGACGCUUUAUGCGGGGAGGCUAAUUUACAACACCAUAAAACUGCCAGCAAAACACGAGGAAAGGAAUGAGGAAGUACAGCCACUACUGGAUGGUGAAGCAACAGCUCCCCCUGUGGCCGGAAUCGUGAAGCUGGAAAAAUGUUAAAAAUGCCUCUGAGUCUGUCCAAUGUAUGUUGUUUGUCUGCUGGCAUUGAAUGUUUGCUAUAUAUGUGUUCAUUGUAAUCCGCCCUGAGUCCCCUUCGGGUGAGAAAGAAGGGUGGAAUAUAAAUACUGUAAAUAAAUAAAUAAAUGGCAUAAGCAAUUUGCAUUGUUUUAAACUUUGUAUAUUGUCUUUUAUGACUGUUUUAACUGUUUUAACGUUUUAGUUCAUUGCAUAACGGUGUAACAGCAUCAAUUGCCACUUGUAAGCCGCCUUGAGUCCCCUCGGGUGAGAAGGGCAGGGUAUAAAUAAUUGAAAUAAAUAAAUUGAAAUAAUUGUGAUGAGUGUAUGAUGAAUGUAUUGCCAGCUCUUAAGUUUCCAGGUGUGAGUGUGAUGGGGAGGAAGAGUAAUUCUCUACCUUAAAGGUGUUAAUGUGGGAUUUGUGUAUUGAUAGUGUUUAAAUGCAAUUUGUGUCUUGCCUGUAUUGCAUACUGAUUGCAUCAUCCAGAGUGUAACAUAGUCUGGAAAGAGUUAAUUACUGAGAAGCUGUGUUGACCUUAAUGUGUGGCUGGAACCAAGGAGUGUCCAGACACAAGUGUGUGUGCAUUGCUGAUUGCAUCAGUUCUGAGUUGAGUCAAGUUCUGUGUUCGUCUAUUGUCUACAAGUCUGUUUGUCUUGAUUAUUGCUGAAGUCAGUAAAACUUUGUAUAUAGCUUUACCAUCAUCUCUCGAUGUCUCUUCGUUCUGCGUUCCACUGAUUCCAUCCAACUACUGCUGCGCUGCAAUUACUCUGACAAAAGGGACGGGCACCCAUGCUUUCCCCUCUCAAUGUGAUGAGGUUGUGAGGCUGCACCAACCCUCUAAAAUGAAUGUAGCCUGGCACCACUUUAGUGGCAUUGGCUCAAUGGCUAAGGGGUAAAGGUAAAGGUUUUCCCUGACAUCAAGUCUAGUCGAAUUCAAUUCUGGGGGUUGGUGCUCAUCUCCAUUUCUAAGAUGAAGAGCUGGCAUUGUCCAUAGACGUCUCCAAGGUCAUGUGGCCGGCAUGACUGCAUAGAGCACUGUUACCUUCCCGCCGGAGCGGUACCUAUUGAUCUACUCACAUUUGUAUGUUUUCGAACUGCUAAGUUGGCAGAAGCUGGGGCUGACAGCAGGAGCUCACCCUGCUCCCCGGAUUCGAACCACCAACCUUUCGGUCAGCAAGUGCAGCAGUUCAGUGGUUUAACCUGCUGUGCCACUGAGGCCCCCGGUUCAAUGGGUACAUACAUACAUAAAUCUAUAGUACAGAAUGAAUGCAAUUGGAUGCCACUUUAACUGCCAUGGCUCCAUGCGAUGGAAUCCUGGGAGUUGUAGUUUUACAAGGCUUCUUGCCUUCUCUGCCACAAGGGAUUGGUGCCACACCAAACUACAUCCUCCACGAUUCCACAGCACUGAGCUAUGGCUGCUAAAGGGCUGCCUGUUGGAGAUUUAGCAAUCUCACAUGUCUGUUUCAGUCUGUUUUCUGACCCCCAAUUUCCAUUUGUACGCCCUCAUGACCAAGAUACAUACUUCAUUUCCCUUUGAAGAAGGAGAGUAAAAGUUGUUGUUUCUUUUCUUCUCAGUCUUGGUCUUAGUCUGUAUCUGUGCAUGAUGCUCUAACCAGCUACAUGGUAGUUUUCUCUUUUUGUCCCCUAUUUACUCCUUAUUUUACUGGGGUUUUUUCUAUAUUGAUUUGAUCAAUCCAA